rnacentral:sRNA from 1 species
UCCUGGUAUCACCACUUUAUGGCCCCUC